UACGGAGGGUGCAAGCGUUAUCCGGAUUCACUGGGCUUAAAGGGUGCGUAGGUGGGCAGGUAAGUCAGCGGUGAAAUCCCCGAGCUUAACUUGGGAACUGCCAUUGAUACUAUCUGUCUUGAAUACCUUGGAGGUGAGCGGAAUAUGUCAUGUAGCGGUGAAAUGCUUAGAUAUGACAUAGAACACCAAUUGCGAAGGCAGCUCACUACACGGUCAUUGACACUGAGGCACGAAAGCGUGGGGAUCAAACAGG
rnacentral:rRNA from 1 species